rnacentral:tRNA from 1 species
GGAAAGAUGGCAGAGCGGUUAUUGCGCCAGUUUGGAAGACUGGUAUCAUUUUUUGAUGCGAGGGUUCAAAUCCCUCUCUUUCCG